ACCCUUCCUUUGAUUUUAUUGGGGGACGUAGUCUGCCCGUCAUUAAAGAUAAGGGGCCGCGGUAUUUUGACCGUGCAAAGGUAGCAUAAUCAUUAGUCUCUUAAUUGGGGAAUGGAAUGAAUGGCUUAAUGAUUUUUUUCUUUAAUAGUAUAAAAUAUAAAAUUUUGAUUUUAAGUGAAAAUACUUAAAUUUUUUAAAAAGACGAUAAGACCCUAUAGAAUUUUAAUUUUCUUUUUAUAAAAAUAUAAAAUAUAAAUUUUGUUGGGGCAGUAUAAGAAAAAGAAUAAUUUCUUUAAUAAAUUUUUUUAAAUAUCUUAAAUCAAAUAUUUUAAAAAAAUUACCUUAGGGAUAACAGCGUUAUAUUUUUUGAGAGUUCUAAUCGACAAAAUUUGUUGCGACCUCGAUGUUGAAUUAAAAUACCUAGUUGGAGCAGAAGUUAAUUAAGGUAGUCUGUUCGACUAUAAAAUUUUUACAUGAUUUGAGU
rnacentral:rRNA from 1 species